rfam:Gossypium hirsutum cultivar TM-1 chromosome 15, whole genome shotgun sequence
UAUUAAAAAUUUCACUCAUUUGUUCCUUAAAAAUUGGUAUAAUUGAUGAAAUAAUCAGAUAGUGAUAUGUGGCUUACCAUGUGUAUCUCAUGUUAAUGCACAAUGAUAAGUUUUUAAUUGUAGAAAUAAAUGAAAUUUUUAAUA